UACGUAGGGGCAAGCGUUGUCCGGAUUUACUGGGCGUAAAGAGCGUGUAGGCGGCCACGCAGGUCCGUUGUGAAACUGGAGGCUCAACCUCCAGCUGUCGACGGAAACCGUGUGGCUAGAGUCCGGAAGAGGAGAGUGGAAUUCCUGGUGUAGCGGUGAAAUGCGCAGAUAUCAGGAAGAACAUCAGUGGCGAAGGCGGCCUGCUGGGCUGUUGCUGACGCUGAGGCGCGACAGCGUGGGGAGCAAACAGG
rnacentral:rRNA from 1 species